GUCAUGCAGAGAGGGUGGGGCAAGGCUCCCCUCUCACCUAGCCAAUAAGGAAUGAACUGGGAGAAGGGGUCAAUAUAAAUGCUGCUUCUUCCUUCACAGGAGAUGCCAACAAAUACAGCAGGGAGCAAGGAAGCUCCUGCAGGGCCCUGCAUUAACAGGGAGAAGACAGCAGCAGAGGCGGGCUGCUUGCUGAACCCUCCUAGCCUGAAGAGGACCAAGCCACUGAAGACCCACCAAGGUUGGACAGCAGCGUACAGGGGAUACUGGGGCAAGAAAAGUACCACACCCACCUGCUAAGAGGUGCUCAAGAGUGAAAGUGAGAUCAGGGAGAUAUGUUCUGCUCGUGAACUACACAAAUAUCUUGGAUACACAGAAAGUAGAGCUUCUGAAGCAAACAGGAAUGAAAAGCAGAACCACAGUGACUAAAAAGAAAG